CACGUGAAAUUCCGUCGGAAUCUGGGAGGACCAUCUCCUAAGGCUAAAUACUCUCUAGUGACCGAUAGUGAACCAGUACCGUGAGGGAAAGGUGAAAAGCACCCCGGAAGGGGAGUGAAAUAGAACCUGAAACCGUGUGCUUACAAGUAGUCAGAGCCCGUUAAUGGGUGAUGGCGUGCCUUUUGUAGAAUGAACCGGCGAGUUACGAUUUGAUGCAAGGUUAAGCAGUAAAUGUGGAGCCGUAGCGAAAGCGAGUCUGAAUAGGGCGUUUAGUAUUUGGUCGUAGACCCGAAACCAGGUGAUCUACCCUUGGUCAGGUUGAAGUUCAGGUAACACUGAAUGGAGGACCGAACCGACUUACGUUGAAAAGUGAGCGGAUGAACUGAGGGUAGCGGAGAAAUUCCAAUCGAACCUGGAGAUAGCUGGUUCUCUCCGAAAUAGCUUUAGGGCUAGCCUCAAGUGAUGAUUAUUGGAGGUAGAGCACUGUUUGGACGAGGGGCCCCUCUCGGGUUACCGAAUUCAGACAAACUCCGAAUGCCAAUUAAUUUAACUUGGGAGUCAGAACAUGGGUGAUAAGGUCCGUGUUCGAAAGGGAAACAGCCCAGACCACCAGCUAAGGUCCCAAAAUAUAUGUUAAGUGGAAAAGGAUGUGGCGUUGCCCAGACAACUAGGAUGUUGGCUUAGAAGCAGCCAUCAUUUAAAGAGUGCGUAAUAGCUCACUAGUCGAGUGACACUGCGCCGAAAAUGUACCGGGGCUAAACAUAUUACCGAAGCUGUGGAUUGUCCUUUGGACAAUGGUAGGAGAGCGUUCUAAGGGCGUUGAAGCAUGAUCGUAAGGACAUGUGGAGCGCUUAGAAGUGAGAAUGCCGGUGUGAGUAGCGAAAGACGGGUGAGAAUCCCGUCCACCGAUUGACUAAGGUUUCCAGAGGAAGGCUCGUCCGCUCUGGGUUAGUCGGGUCCUAAGCUGAGGCCGACAGGCGUAGGCGAUGGAUAACAGGUUGAUAUUCCUGUACCACCUAUAAUCGUUUUA
rnacentral:rRNA from 1 species